CUUAGAGGUCUUUUCCAACCUUUAUGUUUCUAUGAUUCUAUGAUUCUGCGUGCUGCCCUUUAGAAUCUUGACCUCUUCUUUUGCUUUUAUCAGGACUUUGAUCUGACUUCUCUUUGGCACCAGAAAGGCAGAAAACAACAAACUCGUACGUACUUUACAUGCUGCUUUUGCUUGCUGCAUUCUCAUCUCCUGGAAGAUGUUGCAAUUGGGUUCAGCUAAGCAGGGGAUAUUGUUUCCAACAGUUGAGACUGAACACUCUUCAGUUUCCUUGAAACUUUCCAAGCAAAUGUGGCCAAAUGGUCAGCCAGUCAGUGCUCUGGAGGGCUUAGAGCAGUGGAAAUUUCAGCGAUGCUGUUGACAUCUCCAGCAGAGCUAUGUAAACAUGGCAGAGCAGUGCUUCAUUGGCUGUUUCCAAGCCAGGGAAAGGUGAUGUCUCUGCUCUGGGAAUGAAUCACAGCAAAGACCAGGGACCUUUUUGGGUUCUCAUUUCCAUCCGCCUUGGGAACAAGGAGUCAGCCACCUGCAGCACGCACAUCAGCACCCCCUUCUCUCUCCCCAGGGCAUUCUGUGGGCUGGAAACCUCUUUGGGAACCCCGUGCAGAGACAGAAUGGAGUGUGGCCAGCACUGCAACCUCUGGCAUGUCUCUUCCCAGACAGCACGUCCUGAGCACAAACCCUGACUGCCCAGCUGCAGGCAGACAUCACAGUCUGGCUUCCUCCUUCAGCUGGGGGUAAAGGUUAAGAAGCAGAUGGGUUGUUUUGUAAUCUUGUUACAGUAAUGACUCCAUUACACAAACGAUCACUUGCUACUUCUUUUCCAGCAAUUCUUCAAAGAAACUGCAUCCAGAUAUUCUGCCUGCAACGUUUAAUUACUGCAGCUCCUCUUACUUAGAGAUGCUGAAAACAGCUGGCUGCCUGUCAGAAUCACCCCACCUCAACUCCUAGACCAGCCCACAGCUGGAAGUGACAUUCCCAUCUCCCAGGACUGUUAUUUUCUCCUGAUAAUCCAUGGGAAACACGAGGGCUCUUUGAAAGCUGUACUCGCAUGCUCACCUGGUGUGCUCAGGCCAUAGGAAGAAGGAAGGGGUAAUUCAGAGAGGGGCUGUGGCUCCAGCCUGGUGCCAUGCUGCCUUUAAGCACUGUGCUUCAGAAGGCACUCAUUUUGCAUUGUCUCUGUGUUUCCACGUGUCUGAUAAGGGAACCUGCUCUCACGUGGCAGCACGUGGAGGCUGGGGUGCUGACAAACGCUGUUAUGCCUCCAUUUCUCCAGGGAAGGAAGAAUAAAGCAGACAAUUUCGGAUUUAUCAGAUCGCUUCAGAGGAUUCAAUAGUGCACGAUGUGAAAAUAAUCUCAGUGAAAAUAAUAGCAGGCCUCCUCGUUUUAAAUAUGCAAUUGUCCUUCAGAUUUUGAGAAGCUCAAAAUACUUGUCCCUGAGUGAUCUCCUUAUCAGUCAUUGCUUCAGACACAUCCAUCUAGUUCCCCAAAACUCCCUUCUGAAACAGGUCUGCUUUUCCUUAUGGGCAAAACCCUGAUUUUUUCCCUGUGCUUUCUCCUGCAAGGUCAGCCCUGAGGAUUUAAAUCACUUCUCGUUUUGAAAAGAGCAUGGACAUUACACCAGCAGCCAAAGGCUUUCUCUGCUCCCCAUCCAUGGGAAGAAUUGACAGUGGUGACUACAGGGUGAGUGAGAUGUCAUUCUACUGUCUGAGCCUGCUGGCAUGCUUCUGAAAUUCCUUCUGUGUGGAAAGUCUGUGCUGUGGAAGAGAGCAGCCUCAGUCCUUGGAGCAUGGACUCUUCCAGAGAACUGCCAUGGAACUCGCAGAGAACUCUGGGACUGCAUGACCUCGAGUGCAUAGGGAAAGAAGAGGGAAAUACUACCUAUUUGCUGAAGAGCCAGAUCAGGGACUAGUGGCGUAUAAAGACGAGGGAAGGAGGGCAGGAUGGAAAGAUUUAUGUUCUUGGUGGUGUUUCUUAUCAGAGACCGGGAGCUGUCUGAGGCUGUCAUCUAGUCCUGAUCUCUCUGAUUCAAGAGGGCCCUGGUAGGGAGCUCUCUUAUCACUGGAGGAUGGUUUCAUAUGGUUCAGUCUCUGAGUUAUCAGCACUCAUGCUAAUUCCUGUGGCUCCAGAACUGGUCUGGCAGCAAAGAAGGGCCACAGAUCAGACCCUGUAUCUAAACGGGAAGGAGACUUCUGAGGAGGUUUCUUUAAUGUGACACAGGUUGCUGUAUGACAAACAACAGGAAACAUGAAUGUUGUCACAGAUUUGUAAUGUUCCAAAGCCUCAGCCAAGAAGGAGAGACUGAUCUCACACAUCCUGUGCCCCAGGUGAGCAGUGCUGCCCCGGCUCAAGGGCUUUCCUCAUCCUCAGGUUGAAACUGAUACAGCAGGCAGGGAGUGUGAGGAAUCUGCCGCAGGAGAUGGGAAGAACAGAAGGAGCAAACAACCCUCAACUUGUUUACAGAGCCAUUAUUCUGUUCACAGGCUUCUCAGCUGUGAGUUUAUUCCUAAAAGUCAUAGAUGUGGAAGCACUUUGUCAAAGCAUUGAUGCAGCAAAUGUGGACGCAGGAGGACAGGAAGGCAAUCUAGCAGUGCUGAGUGCAGGUGGAAGCAGUGUGGGCUGCCUGGUUGCACUGAGGGCACUCGCAUAUGCUCACAGCGCGUGUGCCAUCCCUGAGGGUUUUUCAGCAAGAACAGAGCAGGUGCUGCUAGAGCAGGGCAGUCAGCCUUGUCACUUAGGAAAUUCACCCUGUGACAGUAUGAGACAAGAAAAAUCCUUGUGGCAGCUGCGCCAGCAAGCUUCUCUAUCCAACAUCAUUGCUGGAAAAAGUGGUUUUUUUUUUUCCUCAACUACCAUUUGAGAACUUUCUGCAAGAAUAAACUAAACCUACUUGAAGGAGCUGUGUUGUCAUUGCUACAUUCGCAGCCUUAAAGCACGAUCCCAGCGGUGCCCCACUGAAGCAAGAAAGCAAUUCCGCAGAAAACUAUGCCUGCCAAAAAAAUGAUUUGUUCAAAGCACUUGGCUUCGAAUAGAUGCAUAAAUGCUUCCCUGAAAUUUGGAUUGUAAUUGAGGAGCAAUAUGCUCGACAGAACAUGCCUAAUGAACAGGCAUCAAAAUUUACGACCAUAGAGGGGUAGCAGUAAUGGGUUAUGCAGGAGAUCAGUCCUACAUUUCUAGUCAAAGUGAGAACUGCCAGCAGCCUGUGGUAAAGAAGAAGUCUUUUUUCAAUCUCACCUCCUCUUUUAACAUCCUUCAUCAAAGAAGCAUACAGGCAUGACCUCCAAAUGUAAACUAAUGAGAUGUCAGCACACGUACGGUGGUGGUAGCAGAGCAGAACUGUGUAGUUUCAGUGGACCUAGAGGUCUGUACAAACAUGGGAGUUUUCCAAAUGCUGUAAUGCCUUUUCUACCUACUCGCCGGAUAAUUCUGUAGCAAAGAGGAACAGUCCCACCGCUACAGCAAAAAGUUGUUUCAUAUCUCCUUGUUUUUGUACUAGAGAUUCCCCUGAUUUACAUGAAGAAAAGGAAGUGGGCUAUCUGCAAGAAGUGAAGUCAUCUUGCUAGAGGGUUAGGGCUGGAGCAGCCCUUGCCAUAUCUUUGGAAGGAUACCAUUCUUCAUGCUUUGUUUUUAGGAACUGUCAAGAGAAAGGAAGCGUAGUGAGCAAAGAGCUAUUUUGAGUGAUAAUCAUGCUCUGGCAGUGGCUUACAUGGUUAUAUCUUAAUAGAUCUCUUCCACUUUGGUCUCUACAUGCACAGCUGUGCCUCUGUAUCCUGCCUGCGGAGACCAGCUUGAAGCCUGGGGAUUUCUGUAUGUGAGCUGUAAAUACAUUCACAUCUUCACGUAGCAGUUGCACCUACUAUAGAAUCAUUCAGCUUGGAAAGACCACUAAGGUCAUCCAGUCCAACCAUCAACCCAUGCCUACGAUUGCUGUAGACCAUGUCACCCAGUGUGGUAUCUCCCAUUUUAACACCUCCAGGUAUGGUAACUCCACCACCUUCUGAGCAGCUGUGCCAAUAUCUCACCAGAGAUCCCAUCCAAACCCUGCAGUUCUGUGAUUCUGUGACCUGGGGAAUCACGUGUGAAAAAUACAGCACACGUAACAACGCUGCCAUGGCUGAACAAACUCCUGCUCUUCGCAGUUGAAAACGUCAGCUUUUGGUGGAUGCUCAUGAAAGUACAGAACGAGUCAGGAAUGAAGGUGCAUCAAACAAAGGGCUUUUAUCUAUUUAUUUAUUUUGCUUUAAGAUCCGAAGUGAUUUUAAAAACAAGCUAUUGAUAAACUUCAUCAUUAGAAGAUAUCAAAGCCAUCUGCUGAAGGAGAAAGCUGCUGAGAACAAUAGGUUUUCAAGUUUGUACCUUGAUUUUUACAGUCACUUACAUAAAAUUGACAUAUAUAUAUGUACGGUGCCAAUAAAUACACAAAAUAUUUCCAGUGCCUUUUUGACUUUUUAAUACAAAAACCUACAGACAAUGGAAGAACAUAGCUUGAUUUGUGCAACAAUGAGGGAUUCUGGAAGCAAGUUUAGUUCAUAAUUCUGAAAAAACAUCCCACCGAAACAUUCCGGAUUUAGGGCACUUGAUAAUGUUGUAUAUAAGCUGGUGCUCCUGCUACUUCUAAGGCAAAACAAACUUGUAACUGCUGCUGUUGACAAACUUGGCUCCUGCUUUCCACUUUUGAAGAGAUUCUUAUCUGUCUUUGGCAUCAUGGAGCCCUAAUUUUCUUCGAGAACCUGUCUGACAACAGCUGAGUGUGCUAGAGAACACAGCCCUCAUUCAGCUGCUCGUUGAUGAGCUGGAAAGUGUAUAUAACCCAUGCUGUUCCUGGGGGUGCAGACUGCCUCCACUUUGUGCUCCAUCCUGCGAGGUGCUGAAGAGACAAAGUCUCCAAACCCUGCCAGAGUGAACUCAGAUCUCCCCAAAAGCUGGAAGUACUGUGAUACAGAACAUGUCCCCAGCCUGGAAAAGGGAUCUUUGUACAUGAACAAAGCUGGCAUGAACUUUGUGCAUGAACAAAUAGUUUCAGCUGGUGGUUGGGCAUCUCAGGAAGUUAAACCACCAUGGGUAAUGUCUUGCUCUCCAGGAAGAACUUAAUGGUGUAGCAAAUUCAUCAUUUGAAGAUAAGGUUCUUCCUUCCAUCAAGAUACAUGUCUACGUACAUAGCUGCCCUAUGUUCUACUCAGGCAGCAAGUGUUUGGGCAGCUUAAGUGCAAUGCUGUGUAUCUGCUGCAGGCGGCUGCUGCUGUUAACAAAUAUCUCAAUAAUAAUAAAAAGCUUUUAACUUGAGAUAACAAUUGUAUUAAAAUAAAAUAAAAAAAAUCUUCUUUGAUGUGGAUGUUCCACAGGAGAA